UAAGCUUCUCGGCCUUUUGGCUAAGAUCAAGUGUAGUAUCUGUUCUUAUCAGUUUAAUAUCUGAUUUUUUGAGGGGGAAGUCGUGGCCUAGUGGUUAGAGAGUUUGACUCCUAACCCUAA
ensembl:snRNA U2 U2 spliceosomal RNA